rnacentral:rRNA from 14 species
AAUUACAGUCAUUCCACCCUAAAAGUACCAGAUCUCAUGUGAUCCUGGAAGCUUACCAGGAUUAGGACUGGUUAGUAAUGGGACAAGAGAGUCUCAUGAAGUGUCACAUGUCUGUCGUCA